ACACAGACAAUAUGGAAAUACCGAGUGUUUUGGACAGACCUGUCUGCUGUUAUGGCCUCCGACGCAGUCGCAGACUGUACAGAAGAUCGGACUGAGGAUGGAGUUCCGGCGGUCAGACAGCUGGAGGACGUUAAUGACCGACUGCUGACCCUGUCUGAGAAGAUAACCAUGUGUGAGAGUGUCCUCAAAGACUUGAAAGAUCUGAGGAGCAAUGUUUUAGUGAGGAAAUCUCUCCAGGACGUGUCCUUACCAUCUCAGAAAUAACUUGGAAGUGGAAGACAUGCCCCCCACCCCCCAUGCUCUUAAAUGUAUUUAAUUAUAAUAAACUGUCAUCUUGUAAUUGAACAGGAAA